rnacentral:pre_miRNA from 2 species
AACAUACUCCCUCCGUUCCAAAAUUUUUGUCUUAGAUUUGUCUAGAUAUGAAUGUAUCUGGUCACGUUUUAGUAUUUUGAUACAUUCAUUUUUAGACAAACUUAAGACAAGAAUUUUGGAACGGAGGGAGUACUAU